GACGAACGCUGGCGGCGUGCCUAAUACAUGCAAGUAGAACGCUGAAGGAGGAGCUUGCUUCUCUGGAUGAGUUGCGAACGGGUGAGUAACGCGUAGGUAACCUGCCUGGUAGCGGGGGAUAACUAUUGGAAACGAUAGCUAAUACCGCAUAAGAUUGACUAUUGCAUGAUAGUCAGUUAAAAGGUGCAAUUGCAUCACUACCAGAUGGACCUGCGUUGUAUUAGCUAGUUGGUGGGGUAACGGCUCACCAAGGCGACGAUACAUAGCCGACCUGAGAGGGUGAGCGGCCACACUGGGACUGAGACACGGCCCAGACUCCUACGGGAGGCAGCAGUAGGGAAUCUUCGGCAAUGGACGGAAGUCUGACCGAGCAACGCCGCGUGAGUGAAGAAGGUUUUCGGAUCGUAAAGCUCUGUUGUAAGAGAAGAACGAGUGUGAGAGUGGAAAGUUCACACUGUGACGGUAUCUUACCAGAAAGGGACGGCUAACUACGUG
rnacentral:rRNA from 1 species